rnacentral:lncRNA from 1 species
GGGGCGCUGUGCCCAGCAGGGGCGACAGCGCAGGCGGGGCCUCCUGCAGCCCCCUUCCCCAUCCCCGGUCGCGUCCCGGUCCCCACCUUGCGAAAGGCUCGAGAGAGGCCGCAGGCUAGGAUUGGACCGCCGGGCGCCGCCGGAUGGUGUUGCCAGGGUAACCGGAUGGCACGCGAAGCCGUUCGAGGUUCCGACCCGGUUACGGGGGCGCCCAGUGGACCCGGAGAGCUACUUUGGGGAGGGGGCGGCCCCGAAGAAGGACUGGGUGGGGGCGCAUGGAGCGGGGGCUGCGCGAAAAGUUUCCUGGGGCGGAGCUGAGCCACGCGGGCCGCGCAGGAGCGUCUGUCCGAGGGUCGCCUACGAGGGACUCCUCUGCUCGGCUGCGCGGGCUUCUGCGUUGAUGAAGUCACCGCGUUCCGGGUCGGAGCUUCGGCGCUUCUGCCCCGAACCCAGCGAAGCCCGGUCCUAUGCCCCCAAUUACCCAACGGUCCCUCAUCGCCCAGCGCAGCUGCUGCCUGGCCAGGCCCUUGCUCCGGAGGAGUCACUGGAAAGUUCCAGGGAAUCUGGGCCUCCCGGACUCUCCACCGGCGUUUCACUGCUCCCUUCCCAUGCCAGGACUCCUCUGUGCCUACCUGGCCUCCAGGAUCUUUGCCAACGGUCUUGAGGAGCCAGGCACAGGAUUGGACUCUGCCCGGGCAGGAGGAUGAAGACAGUGACUUCCCCACCAAGACUCCCGGCAGAGGGCCAGAGGCAGGGAAGUGUGGUGGCAGGAGGGCCAGCCUUGCCGUGGCUGGACCAGGGGCCAGCGCUUGCUAACUCGGGGUCCUGGCCGAGUUGUGUGGCCUCUCCGACCCUCGGUCUCCUCAUCUGUAAGAUGGGUCCCACAGCCCCUCCCCGGGGAGGUGUUUGCAGGGCUCCAUGAGAAGGCCUUACACACACUGUGGCUAUGGUGAUCUGUGAGCCGGUCAGAGGACCCGAGAGGCAGCAGGGUGACUCAGCAGUUUCCCUGCCGGGCCGCCCCUGGGUCAUCGUCCCCUAGAGCCUCUCCCUGAGGGGUGUGAGGGAGCGGAUCCCAUUAAGAGGCGAAGGAGGCAGGGAGGUCCUGGAACCAGCGGGGCCUAUGGCGGCCGGCGGGGAAGGAGGCGCCGGCAGUGCUGCCACCUAGCGGUGUGAGGAGGCGGUGCUGCACCAGGGAGGCCCUUCCUGCAACCGGAGUGGGCCUGGAAGGGGCCGGCUUCGCACACUAGGAGCCAGCAGGGCAGGGAGGGGCUCCGGACCGGACCGUGUCGGCUCCAGGAACCCCUUGGGCAGCCUUGUGGACACCUGCUGACCUCUCUCAGAAUGGCUUCUAAGUGCAUAGAUGAAAAAGCCCAGGAUUAUUAGGAAACCAAUUCUAUGCAAAUGCAUUAUCAAAAGAGUAAUAAAAACAAAUUUCUGAUAUA